UCCUGGUUAACCCAGGCAGUCUCGUUAGAGUUCCCGCCUUUACGCGCUGGCAACUAACGAUAAGGGUUGCGCUCGUUGCUGGACUUAACCAAACACCUCACGGCACGAGCUGACGACAGCCAUGCAGCACCUAUAUAGAGACCCUUUCGAGAAAUGACAUCUCUGUCAUCGUCCUCUACAUUUCGAGCCCAGGUAAGGUUCUUCGCGUUGCAUCGAAUUAAACCACAUGCUCCACUGCUUGUGCGGGCCCCCGUCAAUUCUUUUGAGUUUCACCCUUGCGAGCGUACUCCCCAGGCGGCAUACUUAAUGCGUUAGCUCCGGUACAGAAAGGGUUGAGCCCCUCUACACCUAGUAUGCAUCGUUUACGGCAAGGACUAC
rnacentral:misc_RNA from 1 species